UACGUAGGGGGCAAGCGUUGUCCGGAAUCAUUGGGCGUAAAGAGCGCGUAGGCGGCCCUGUAAGUCCGCUGUGAAAGUCAAGGGCUCAACUCUUGGAUGCCGGUGGAUACUGCAGGGCUAGAGUCCGGAAGAGGCGAGUGGAAUUCCUGGUGUAGCGGUGAAAUGCGCAGAUAUCAGGAGGAACACCGAUGGCGAAGGCAGCUCGCUGGGACGGUACUGACGCUGAGGCGCGAAAGCGUGGGGAGCAAACAGG
rnacentral:rRNA from 1 species